rnacentral:tRNA from 1 species
CUCCGACGAGGACGUCCGCGCCGCCGCCCGCGCCGCCCAGGCGGAGGGCUUCGUCGAGGCCCUCCCCGCCGGGUUCGACACCCGCGUCGGAGA